CCUUUGGAAUAAGCCUAUUUGCAUUUACCAGUACGCAUGCGCGGAAUUUCCUUAGCAACGAAAAAAGUGAGAUAAACAAGUCGCGUUCGACAGGGCAGCGUGUGUCCAGGUUCAAUGUUCAAGUGUCGAGAUUUUUAGCCUCUACACGGCGUUAACGGCAGCUACCCGCCUGGAUCUGAUGUUCCAACCAUGUCCUAAACCUUGUGUACCUGAAACACCGUGUUCAGUUUCGCUUCAGAGGAAUUUACGGUGCCGGAGUUCAACAUGAGGCUGUGUGCAGUGGUCGGCUGCGGUAAUGGAACAUAUCAACCAAGGCGGUUUCAACCUUCUUGUAUCAACUUUAAAAAAAGGAAGUCAGGGACAUGUCCAAAUAAAAACAUGGAACAAAAAAA